AGAGUUUGAUCAUGGCUCAGGAUGAACGCUAGCGAUAGGCUUAACACAUGCAAGUCGAGGGGCAGCACAUGAGUGGCAACACGAUGGUGGCGACCGGCGCACGCGUGAGUACCACGUAUGCAACCUGCCCAUAACUGGGGGAUAACCCGUCGAAAGGCGGACUAAUACCGCAUGACAACGCUGAUCCGCAUGGUGAGGCGUUUAAAGAUUUAUCGGUUAUGGAUGGGCAUGCGUUCCAUUAGAUUGUUGGUAGGGUAACGGCCUACCAAGUCUGCGAUGGAUAGGGGUUCUGAGAGGAAGGUCCCCCACACUGGUACUGAGACACGGACCAGACUCCUACGGGAGGCAGCAGUGAGGAAUAUUGGUCAAUGGGCGAGAGCCUGAACCAGCCAAAUCGCGUGAAGGAUGAAGGUAUUAUGUAUUGUAAACUUCUUUUGUCAGGGAAUAAAGUGCGGGACGUGUCCCGUUGGUAUGUACCUGAAGAAUAAGGAUCGGC
rnacentral:rRNA from 1 species